ensembl:lncRNA
CCCUGCCCAAAGACCCUUGGAGAAAGCCUAGCCUCCCGCAUCUGUCCCUGUGCCCUGUCUUUCUCUCUAGUUAGGAAUCGAAGCCGGGUCUCCCGCAUUGCAGGCAGACCCUUUAGCAUCUGAGCCACCAGGGAAGCCCCUUUCCUUCAUUUAACAAAUAUUGAUGGAUGUGUGUGUCAGGCACAUUCUAGGCAGUGAGGACAGACCAGUGAACGAAACGGAUGUUGACCUAAAGGAGGUGACGUGCAGGUAGUGAGUAAAAGGUUAGAAGUGAUUUUAGAGGUAAAUGGCGUGGAGGACGAUGAAGCAGAGAUGGGAGACAGAGUGAAGUGCAGGUUCCAACGGGGAGGUGGGAGGAGGCCUCCCUGGGAAAGUGACAUCCACGCAGGAGGCGAGGGAGUGAGCCCUGCAGAGAUAAAGGGGCACCACACUCCACGCGAGGGCAGCCCCGGAAGACAGCGAGGAGUAGGAGGUGAGGUCAGGGAGGCAGGGGAAGGGGCAGCUGCCGCCCUCUUUCAAACAGCAAAUUCUCAACCCUCAGGUUCCAGCAGGUGUCGGGGGUGCCUGGUUCUGAGAACAGGGUCAAGAGAAGACUUGAGCACAAAGAGCAACCACGGGAAAGGUUCAGGAGGAGGUCCAGGCCUGGCUAGGGCCAGGUUUCACGCCUUCGGGGGAGCUGGCCUUCUGUCUCCUUGCCCUGGCCUCUUCUCCCAGCAAGGAAGUGGGAAGACGGACCAAUGAAUGCCAAAGAAAUUGAAAGUCUGCAGAUACUGCUAGAGUGGAGAGAAGUCGUCAGGAUGAGGCUGGACAUAAAAGAGAACAAAACUAUGUCAUGUGCGGGAUGCGGAUGGACCCAGAGACUGUCAUAGAGUGAAGUAAGUCAGAGGAAAACAAAUACCGUAUAUAAAUGCAUAUAUGUGGAAUCUAGAAAAAUAGUGUUUCGUUUCAUUUCAUUCAGUUGCUCAGUCAUGUUCGACUCUUUGCGACCCCAUGAAUUGAAGCACUCCAGGCCUCCCUGUCCAUCAUCAACUCCUGGAGUUCACUCAGACUCAUGACCAUCGAGUCAGUGAUGCCAUUCAGCCAUCUCAUCCUCUGUUGUCCCCUUCUCCUCCUGCCCCCAAUCCCUCCCAGCAUCAGUCUUUUCCAAUGAGUCAACUCUUCACAUGAGGUGGCCAAAGUACUGGAGUUUCAGCUUUAGCAUCAUUCCUUCCAAAGAAAUCCCAGGGCUGAUCUCCUUCAGAAUGGACUGGUUGGAUCUCCUUGCAGUCCAAGGGACUCUCAAGAGUCUUCUCCAACACCACAGUUCAAAAGCGUCAAUUCUUCAGCAUUCAGCUUUCUUCACAGUCCAACUCUCACAUCCAUACAUGACCACAGGAAAAAC